rnacentral:rRNA from 1 species
UACGGAGGGUGCGAGCGUUGUUCGGAAUCACUGGGCUUAAAGCGCGUGUAGGCGGCUAGUUAAGUGUCAGGUGAAAGCCCUCGGCUCAACCGAGGAACGGCCCGGCAAACUGGCUUGCUUGAGGUACGUAGAGGUGACUGGAACGACGGGUGGAGCGGUGAAAUGCGUAGAUAUCCGUUGGAACGCCGGAGGCGAAAGCGGGUCACUGGGCGUAUCCUGACGCUGAGACGCGAAAGCGUGGGUAGCAAACAGG